UCAAGUUGGUAAGGGCAUACGGCGGAUGCCUAGGCGUUUCGAAACGAAGAAGGACGCGAUAAGCUGCGAUAAGCCAUGACGAGCUGCAAGUAAGCCUUGACUCAUGGAUUUCCGAAUGGGGCAACCCGGCAAGAGUAACGUCUUGUCACCCUACCCUAGAGGUAGGGAGAAAACACCCGAUGAACUGAAACAUCUAAGUAGUCGGAGGAAAAGAAAUCAAAGAGAUUCCCUGAGUAGCGGCGAGCGAAACGGGAGGAGCCCAAACCUGAGGACUUCGGUUCUUAGGGGUUGCGGACCUGCAACAAGACAUAAGCUUUAGUGGAAGCAUCUGGGAAGGUGCGGCGAAGAGAGUGAGACCCUCGUACACGAAAGAGUGAGUGUUGGGCAGGGAUCCAGAGUACCACAGGGCACGAGGAACCCGGUGGGAAGCAGGGUGGACCACCAUCCAAGGCUAAAUACAUCGAAACGACCGAUAGCGAUGAGUACCGUGAGGGAAAGGUGAAAAGAACCCCGGGAGGGGAGUGCAAUAGAACCUGAAACCGUAUGUCUACAAACAGUCGGAGCACUUUACAUGUGCGACGGCGUGCCUAUUGAAGAAUGAACCGGCGAGUUAAUUUAUGCUGCGAGGUUAAGCGGGAGACGCGGAGCCGAAGCGAAAGCGAGUCUUAAGAGGGCGAAAGUAGCAUGGAUUAGACCCGAAACCACAGUGAUCUAUGCAUGUCCAGGUUGAAGCUCAGGUAAAAAUGAGUGGAGGACCGAACCCGUGCGUGUUGAAAAACGUUGGGAUGAGGUGUGCAUAGGGGUGAAAUGCCAAUCGAACGUGGAGAUAGCUGGUUCUCCCCGAAAUAGCUUUAGGGCUAGCCUCAGGCGAAUAACCAUAGAGACGGUAGAGCACUGAUCGGGCAAGGGGGCGUAAAGCCUACCGACCCCAGUCAAACUACGAAUGGCUCAUAUGGGCAGCCUGGGAGUCAGAAUGCGAGUGAUAAGACCCGUAUUCAAGAGGGAAACAGCCCAGACCGCCGGCUAAGGUCCCAAAUGCUGUGCUAAGUGGAGAAGGAUGUAGGACUUCGAAAACAACCAGGAUGUUGGCUCAGAAGCAGCCACCAUUAAAAGAGUGCGUAAUAGCUCACUGGUCGAGAGGCCCUGCGCCGAAAAUAUCCGGGGCUAAAGCACAGAACCGAAGCCGCGGCAUCGUACUAGGUACGAUGGGUAGGGGAGCGUUCUUAUCUGGACGAAGGCAGACCGGAAGGACUGCUGGACGGAUAAGAAGUGAGAAUGCCGGUAUGAGUAGCGAAACGACAGGUGAGAAUCCUGUCCACCGAAAGCCUAAGGUAUCCCGGGCAACGCUCGUCGUCCCGGGGUUAGUCGGGACCUAAGCCGAGGCGAAAAGCAUAGGCGAUGGACAACUGGCGAAAAUUCCAGUACCGGGCGUCUUCGUUUGAGGAUGGAGUGACGCAGGAAGGAAGCUGAGCGCGCGAAUGGUUGAGCGCGUCGAAGGCGGUAGGCUGAUACGGAGGCAAAUCCCCGUAUCAUAAGGCCGAGAACCGAUAGAUAGGAAAGACUACGGUCAAUCUGAAUUCAGCUGCACUACACUGCCAAGAAAAGCUUCUAACGAGAAGACGUCCGCCCGUACCAAAACCGACACAGGUAGGCGGGGAGAGAAUCCUAAGGUGCGCGGGAAAACCCUCGUUAAGGAACUCGGCAAAAUGCAUCCGUAACUUCGGGAAAAGGAUGGCCGUUGAUGGUGAAGGUGUUUACCACCGGAGCUGUUGGCGGCGGCAGAAAAGAGGCCCAAGCGACUGUUUACCACAAACACAGGUGCCUGCGAAAGCGCAAGCUGAAGUAUAGGUGCUGACGCCUGCCCGGUGCAGGAAGGUUAAGGAGAGUUGUUAGUCCUAGAGAUGAAGCAGCGAACUGAAGCCCCUGUAAACGGCGGCCGUAACUAUAACGGUCCUAAGGUAGCGAAAUUCCUUGUCGGGU
rnacentral:rRNA from 1 species